UACGGGGGGGGCAAGCAUUGUUCGGAAUUACUGGGCGUAAAGGGCUCGUAGGCGGCCAACUAAGUCGGAUGUGAAAUCCCCAGGCUUAACCUGGGAAUUGCAUCCGAUACUGGAUGGCUUGAAUCCGGGAGAGGGAUGCGGAAUUCCAGGUGUAGCGGUGAAAUGCGUAGAUAUCUGGAGGAACACCGGUGGCGAAGGCGGCAUCCUGGACCGAUACUGACGCUGAGGAGCGAAAGCCAGGGGAGCAAACGGG
rnacentral:rRNA from 1 species